rnacentral:rRNA from 1 species
CCUACGGGGGCAGCAGUGGGGAAUAUUGGACAAUGGGCGAAAGCCUGAUCCAGCCAUGCCGCGUGUGUGAAGAAGGCCUUCGGGUUGUAAAGCACUUUCAGUGGGGAAGAAAGCCUUGGGGCUAAUACCCUCGAGGAAGGACAUCACCCACAGAAGAAGCACCGGCUAACUCCGUGCCAGCAGCCGCGGUAAUACGGAGGGUGCGAGCGUUAAUCGGAAUUACUGGGCGUAAAGCGCGCGUAGGCGGUCUGAUAAGCCGGUUGUGAAAGCCCCGGGCUCAACCUGGGAACGGCAUCCGGAACUGUCAGGCUAGAGUGCAGGAGAGGAAGGUAGAAUUCCCGGUGUAGCGGUGAAAUGCGUAGAGAUCGGGAGGAAUACCAGUGGCGAAGGCGGCCUUCUGGAUUGACACUGACGCUGAGGUGCGAAAGCGUGGGUAGCAAACAGGAUUAGAUACCCGUGUAGUC